GUAUUCCUUGAACUUUGUCUUGCAGGAUGGUAACCCGGAUGUAGAGUACAAGCGGCAUCAAUUUCCUGCGUGUCAAUCUGCAGAUGAAGAUCCACUGGAACACAAUUGAAUCUUGCAGGUUUUUUCAUUACUGAGGGCCUUGAGGUGUUGGUGAGUGGAGGUGCAUGGAAUUUCAUUUCUUCAACAGCUAACAAAAGGUAUCCAAAGAAUGUGGCUGAGGAUCUCUUCACAGCCUAAAAAGUCUGGAUUAGAGAUGAGUCAUUCUGAUAAAUCUGAUGUAACAACCAUAAAUCAGGGGAAGCAAUUGGAAAGGCUGACUGCUGUUAUAUCAUUCCACUUCACUGAAUGCAUUUGUUUGUUUAUUACUCACAUUUGCAAAAUGCAAGGACCCCACAGGAAAAUGUGAAGUAUUCUGUCAUUCAAUAAAAAAUCCCUAACAACAUUUGUUUUAAAAUGUUAAAAUACUGAUAGCUGGGUUUGGAGUUAGACAUUUAUUGGUGGAACUAUUUCCUAAGCAAUUUUACCAGAGAUCUCUU